UGAUGUCCCGGUUCCUGCAUUGGAGAUGGCUAUUAGGUAAAUCCGGUAGCGUAAAUCAAGGGUGUGGGACGAGUGAGCUUGCUCACGAAGCAAUUGGAAGUGGUUCCAAGAAAAGCCUCUAAGCUUCAGUCUAACGAGACCGUACCGCAAACCGACACAGGUGGGCGAGAUGAGUAUUCUAAGGCGCUUGAGAGAACUCAGGAGAAGGAACUCGGCAAAUUUGUACCGUAACUUCGGGAUAAGGUACGCCCAAGUAGCUUAACUGUGAACAACAGAAGGGCAAAAGGGUUGCAAUAAAAAGGUGGCUGCGACUGUUUAAUAAAAACACAGCACUCUGCAAACACGAAAGUGGACGUAUAGGGUGUGACGCCUGCCCGGUGCUGGAAGAUUAAAUGAUGGGGUGCAAGCUCUUGAUUGAAGUCCCAGUAAACGGCGGCCGUAACAAUAACGGUCCUAAGGUAGCGAAAUUCCUUGUCGGGUAAGUUCCGACCUGCACGAAUGGCGUAACGAUGGCCACACUGUCUCCUCCUGAGACUCAGCGAAGUUGAAAUGUUUGUGAUGAUGCAAUCUACCCGCGGCUAGACGGAAAGACCCCAUGAACCUUUACUGUAGCUUUGCAUUGGACUUUGAAUCGGUCUGUGUAGGAUAGGUGGGAGGCUUUGAAACCAUGAUGCUAGUUCUGGUGGAGCCAACCUUGAAAUACCACCCUGAUUUAUUUGAGGUUCUAACCUUGGCCCGUUAUCCGGGUCGGGAACAGUGCAUGGUGGGCAGUUUGACUGGGGCGGUCUCCUCCCAAAGUGUAACGGAGGAGUACGAAGGUACGCUUGGCACGGUCGGACAUCGUGCCUAAAGUGCAAUGGCAAAAGCGUGCUUAACUGCGAGACCGACAAGUCGAGCAGGUGCGAAAGCAGGUCAUAGUGAUCCGGUGGUUCUGUAUGGAAGGGCCAUCGCUCAACGGAUAAAAGGUACUCUGGGGAUAACAGGCUGAUACCGCCCAAGAGUUCAUAUCGACGGCGGUGUUUGGCACCUCGAUGUCGGCUCAUCUCAUCCUGGGGCUGUAGCCGGUCCCAAGGGUAUGGCUGUUCGCCAUUUAAAGAGGUACGUGAGCUGGGUUUAAAACGUCGUGAGACAGUUUGGUCCCUAUCUGCCGUGGGCGUUGGAGAUUUGACGGGGGCUGCUCCUAGUACGAGAGGACCGGAGUGGACGUACCGCUGGUGUACCUGUUGUUUCGCCAGAAGCAUCGCAGGGUAGCUAUGUACGGAAGAGAUAACCGCUGAAAGCAUCUAAGCGGGAAACUUGCCUGAAGAUAAGAUCUCCCGGAGGUUUAACCUCCAUAAAGGGUCGUUGAAGACCACAACGUUGAUAGGUCAGGUGUGGAAGCGCAGUAAUGCGUUAAGCUAACUGAUACUAAUUGCCCGUUAGGCUUGAUC
rnacentral:rRNA from 1 species